UUUCCGUAGGUGAACCUGCGGAGGGAUCAUUAUUGAAAUAUACCUGCUGGGUUGCUGCUGACUCGCUCGGGAGCAUGUGCACACUUGUCAUCCUUAUGUCUCCACCUGUCCACCUUUUGUAGAUCUGGAUAUCUUUCUGAAUGCCUGCGUUCAGUUUUGAGGAUUGACUUGUCUUUCCCUACAUUUCCAGGCCUAUGUUUCUUCAUACACACCAUGUAUGUUAUAGAAUGUAAUGAAAAGGGCCUUUGUGCCUACAAACUUAUACAACUUUCAGCAACGGAUCUCUUGGCUCUC
rnacentral:misc_RNA from 1 species